rfam:Picea glauca, whole genome shotgun sequence.
AACACUUGACAGCAGAUAUCACGACUCUUGUCACAAUGAUGAAAAUGGCAAAAUGCAAUGCUUGGUGUGAAUUGCAAAAUCAACCACUGAAUAUUUGAACUCAAGUUGUGCCCGAGGCCUCCAUCAAGGGUACAUCUGUAUGGACAUCU